UACAGAUAAACAUGCACCAUGCAGAAAGCUGCAUUCCACCAACUAGACCUCAACUCCAAUGACCCUGAUGUUGUACAGCAGCGUCCUUCAGAAGGAAGCACUUCCAGAGCAGGAGGAUGAUGUAGACCAGCUGGGAACUGUGAAACUCUCAAGGGAAGAUCUCCAUCUCCACAUCUGAAGCCAGGGUCUGCAUGAGAAACCUGCUCCCAGGAAGUUGGAUGUCUCAGAGCAAGAAAAGGGAAAAAACACCCAGGUGAAGGCUACAGGCACUUUGUGACUUCUCAAGCACUGGCUCAUCUUACAAACCCAUGGAGGCUGUCUAGCUAUCUUGGGAAGCAUCUAACCCUCAUUACUCUGCAGAGUGAUCCUUCCAGGCUCCCGGAACCCAGUGAAUAGGAGGAUUAUGUCCAGGGCAGUGGGGAAGUUCUGCUCAUCUGGCAGCCUGCAGGACCUUGCCAUGAGGAGGAGGAGGAGGGAGGAACACGAUGAUAUUUAUGAGCUUCAUAAAACUUCCCCGUAACCCAUCAUGAAAAUUGCUGGCUCAUGAGGGAUAUCACUUAAUUUAGCUAGAGUGCAGCCGAGUUUGUUUCUCCUAGAGAGGAAUUUUUACAGCAUCCAUUAGGGGUUUUAAAGUUAUUUUCGGCGAAGGGGAUCACGGAGGUUCCCGUUCCCUUCUGGAGAGCCAGCGAAACAAACAAACAGCAAAACUCUCUUCGCCUCAAACAGUUUGCAAACUAUAAACAAGUGCAGAAAUCAGCAAAUAGAUUCAGCAAACAGGCUGGGGAAGCAUAAAAUAACAGCCAGACAGUUAUGGCCAGCAUGAGAUUAUUAUGAUCAACAAUCUAAAUUAUUAUUGUACAUCUCUAAGUAGCCUAUUCUGGCAGCCCCAUAAUGUAUGUAACACACUGUACCUUCUGCUGCUCCAUAUCUUCAUAACUGGUUGCCAGUAAUUUCUGUUUUCAUCACAGUAUUUGGUGCAUUUUUGAUUGUUUCUUCUGCUGAAUGGAUGCAACAGAUAAAAUUUACAUUCAUGGCGCUUGCCGUUGCCUGGCUCCUUCAGGAUUUUUAAAUUCCAGCAGUUGAAAAAUAAUCUUAAGUUUAAAAUAAGUAAGAUACAAUUAAAAUAAUUUAAUUGACCAUCAAAAAAGCUUAACUUCAAAGGAAUUAAAACCCUCUCUAAGAUACAUUGUCACCUCAUAGUUCAUUUGCUAUAAUUUGAGCAUUUUUAUCAACAGAGAAUCUCACCAAAGGCUUCAUGGACAUGUGAGAUGAUUAAAAAUAGAAGAUCAAAGCACGCAAACAAAUCCUGUUAACAUACUCUAGUGAACAGGGAUUGUUUUAUAACUAAAUAUAAGCCAACUCAAACAAAUAUUUGGAGACACUGAAGGCAGAUCUCAUUGUAGCUUUUGGCAGGGUGUGCUUUAUAUAUUAUGAGGACAUUUUUGUCCGGUUGCCACUGCUCUGACCAGAAGCCACACGUGUGGACCAGCAUUGCACCUCCCUUCUCUCCCACCAGCAUUUUCCUUUCUCUGCUUCGGGACAAUCAGGAGCUAAAUUCAAUAAAUAAGCAGCGAGCUCCUUUGGAAAUAUUGCAUUAAACCCCUCAGCUCAGCAUUAACAUGGAGUGCCUGCUGGGAAAAAGGACAACUUGAUCAUCUCCAUAUUCCACAGUGGAGUAGCAGUCAUCUGGGGGGUUUAAAAAGUUUUCUCAUGCCUUCAAGGAAAGGUUCAAGAAGCAGAAUUUGCACGAUGGGGUUUUGUAAAUCCUUUUCCCACUAACGGUACUACUAUUAAACAAACAUUUUGAGGUAGCAUGUGAAGGCUGUGACUAAUUUGCCUUUGCCCAUGGUUAAGCAAUACAAACUGCUUCCCUGGACUCAAAAGGAUAGACUGAAAUAUUCCCAUUUCCUGCAGAUGAGUGAAAAUAAACAGAUCCAAACUGAGUUGAAAGAAUGUAAGUAGAACAAGCCUUCAUUUGUAGGGGAAAAUAAACUUAGCUGAUCCCGUAGGCCUGGAACUAUAAACAGCAUCCUUUUUCUCCCAGGGCAGUGUAUAACGUGAGUGCAUGGUUUGAACAUCCUCAAAAUAAACAGCUAAUCACCCUUUCUGGCCUAAUUAGGUUAUGUUCUGGCUGCUGGCUCUAGGUCUCAUGUGAGGUGGCAUUGAGGGGAGCCCUGCUCCUCUCCCAAGAAAGAGAGCCUGUCCAACCCUCUCUUUGUUAGUUAACAUUUGCUCCUUGAGGAUAUCCAGCUCGGGGACCUUCCUUGAAAGCUUGGCAGAUCCAAGGUCAAGAAGAUUCUCAUCACUUUCCAUCAAGAACAAAGGCCCUUCAGACCAGAAGCAGAAGAGCGAAAGCAUUUUAACAUCUUGGGGCACUUACAUGGAGACGAGUGGAUCCUUUCUCCUGCCUGAGAGCCGUCCUCUGAGACUCCUGGUGGGGAGAAGCCAUCCCAGAGGUGCUCCUUCAUUUCCCACAGGGACAUAGCCUAUCAAAUCAGCACUGCCAACUUCCUGCAAAACACGGGGGUUGGAGUCCAGAGCAAACUACUCCUCCUGAAGCCCUGAAAAAAGAGCAAAUCUAAAAAGAAAAGGCAUAAUUUAAUUUCCUUUCCACAUGGUCAAUUAAGAAGCUUCUACCUGGGGACAAAAAGAAAAGUGUUGGUGUUUGGGGUUUUUUUUGUUAGCUUCAUCCAGAGAGGAAAAAAAAUCUUUGAGGAAUUUUCUGGCACGUGGCUCCUGUUAGGUUUCAGCCAGCCGAGCUGUUUUCAGAAGCACUGGAAUGUACUUUCAGCAAUAAUUGAUCAACAGAGACAAAGGCAGUGAGGGUGUUCUGCUGCACAGAAGUCCUGGGUGAACAUCCAUACUUUGUGUCUAGGAACACAGAUUUAACAAAUGUGAAUCCGGAGAGCUGAAUUCCUGGAAUCUGGCUCUGCCCUGAACGAUGGAAAAUUGGAGCCAUUGCUGGAGGGGGGAUGGUGCUUUUCAACUCCAAUUUCAGUCAAUUGACUCAAAUUCAUCUGUAAAACUUUGGCACUGCUGAUGAAAAAAUUUAAUUUCCCAUGAUUUUUUUUAAUUUAUUGCUCAAAAUACCCAAGUCCUAAAUUAGACACAGAGCUUUUGGUGUAAGCCAGCGUAAUCCUUUUACUAUGGAAUCAUUCUGUUAUACAAUUUUUUGACCGCUCUGUGAGUGUGUGAAAUUGUUGUCUAAAAUGCAUUGCUUAAUACUGGUAUUUGCCUGUUUUAGACAAAUCUGUUAUAAUUUUUGAGAUGAAAUUGUGUAAAAUAAAGCAACUUACUCUUUAGUCCCUUGGGUGGGAAGCUUGAGUUCUCCAUAUUUUCAGAGUGCUUUUGAAAGGACUGAAAUUGUUCAGUGUCAUGCUACAAUGGUGUGAUUUUUUUUAAGGGCUAGUUAAAUUAUUUGCAUGGGAAAAGAAGUCUCUUACCCAGUGCAAAAGAACACAAAAAUGUGUCCUUGGAUGUACUGAGAUGAUGGAAUCACGCUGCUCCCAAUGAGCUGAGCUCUCCAGUCUGCUGAGGAGAUUCCUGUUGCCCUGCAGUCUUUGGACCAGUCUGUAUAUGAAAGAAUUUCUUAUUCCUGCCUCUGGUAGGAAAUGCAUUGAGAAUUCUUUGUGAGAGAACUUGGAGCCAUUCUGCUGGUACUCAAGGCUGUGCAGAUCUGGGAAGAGAAGUUCCUGUUCUGUGCUGUCUCCUAAGAGCAAAAAUCCUUAAAAGAUCUGGCCCUCCAUGUGAUUUGCUUAUACAGGAAUUUUCUUCUCCUGAAUGAAGCCAGGAAAGAUUUUCCUGUUACAUUUCAGGGAAGUGAAGUGAUGUGCAGAGCAGAUACGUCAAAUAACAGGGUUCUAGUGUGUAGAAACCAAGUCAACAUUAAUAAAAGUUUGCUGUCUUUCUAAAAUGAUCUUAUACAUUAGAGUGUCAAUUGCUCUAGGAUUUAUAAUGCAAGAAGACAGGAUGAAUCCAAGGCAUUGAAAUAAAACUAAUUAAAACGUCAAAUAACACAGGUUUGGGUUGCUCAAAACAGACCUUUAUGUAAGAUAGUGAGAUCAUCAUUAGAGGGCCACAAACUUAACUUUUUAAUAAGAAAUAAUCUUAAUAAUUUUUUACAUCAAGACUGGCCUCUGCUGCCUCCAAAUUUGGAUUGAUAUAUCAAAGUACAUAUUGUCUUUAAUGUUCCUGUCAAACCUGAGCUGUGAUGCGUGGAGUUAUUCCCUACUUGGAGGGAUGAUUCUGUGAAACUUAGCUAAUAAAAACGUGACACAG